GGAAAGAGGACGCACGGGUGAGCAUCGUGAGUGGUGGUGGAAAGAAAGGAUUAAGGAAUUAAUUUAAGGUGACGAGGUUUAGCGGGACCAAGAUGGAAAAUGAAUUGCUAUGUUAUUUUGUUUUUUUUAGAUUUCUAUCUUUUAUUAUUAAACUCUUGUAAUACAGUGAAGCUCAAAUGACUAUGUUUUAUUUCCUUUUAAAUAAAUAGUUGGUACCCAGUUAUUUAUUUUAAUU